AGGUGGCAGACAUGCGCCCCGCUCCCACCCGCGAUGUCACUCUGCUCAUGCCCCCUUCAGGAGGACUGGAGGACUCGCCCCCAUUCCCGCCCUCCCCUCUCCUCUCCUCCGCCGCAGCCGGCAGAAAUCAAAACAAAAAUUAAACCUGGCAGAGCCGAGGUGGUCAGCAGGGAGGAAAAUCUCAAGCCAAUCUCUCAUUUCAAUUCGCCAUUGUGAGCAGCUUUUUUUUUUUUUAAUUCAUUGAGAAGGUCUUCCUGCAAUAUCUUCUUUGAAAAGCAACUAGUACGAUUCCCAGGUCUUUUUUUUUUUUUCUUCAUGUUAGCAAUUCUGAAUCUCAAUUUUAAGUUUUAUAAAGAAACAUCACCAAGGAAAAAAAUUAAUCACUUUGCAACAACUUGAUUAAAGCCGCACCAAGGCAACAAGAACAUAUUCAUGAUAAACCUACUGUGUGGUUUUCAAAUAAAAAUACUCUAAUCUCACACCAUGUAACACCAGCUCAGUAGUGAAGAUCCUGAAAUUUUGCUUUGGUCAAAAUUCAGUCAAGCCUAAUACAUUCAAUUAUUUAAUAAAACAUUUUUUUUUGUA